UCCAGACCUCCCUCCUGUGCUUGGAUCCAGUUAAUCAUACUUGGUGCUUGCUUGCAUGCAGAUGAAUCAUUCCAGUCUCGGUCCUCACUGUCACGUGACCCCCUUUCUGCGCUGUGUUGUCAUCUUUUCUGUCUUUUACAAGGACUGCUGCUAUUGGUUCUAAGUCAGCCUGAUUCAGAAUGGUGUCAUGCUUCCAAAUAAGAUCAUAUUUGCAGGCACCAGGGGUCAGAAUAAAUUCAACAUAUCUUUCUGGAACCAUUGUUCAGGCUAUCCACAGAAGGAAUAUUUCGAGCACAGGCUGAAAUGAGAAAGCUAGUGGGUUGGUGAGCACCUACCUGGCAGAGCCUUGUUUCUCCACUACAGCAAGAGCGCCCCAAGAGUGCUGUGUUCUCUGGAGAGGGCAAGGUGAAAAUGAGUGUCGAGGAGCAGAUGGACCGGAUGAGGCGGCAUCAGAGCGGUUCCAUGAAGGAAAAGCGGAGGAGCCUACAGCUCCCAGCCAGCCCAGCCCCUGAGCCCAGCACCCGGCCUGCCUACAAAGUGGUAAUGUCCUCGCAGCUGCCCAGAGGCCCGGGCUCUGCCCUCUGUCCACACAACUUCCCUCAGCCCAUGGGCACAUGGGACCAGGGAGCUGGAAGACUGAGGGUGACCUAGCAGGGCUCCUGGGAUACACCACUGCUAGAGGUGCUUCAGCCUGUGUUUCCUAUUUAUGCUUGAUGAAAGUAAUGCCAAAUGAAUGACAAAUGUGUUUGCUGAAAUGAAGUAUUCAAAAAGUCACUUGUGUUAAGAGCACUUGCUGCUCUUGCAGAGGACUCUUGGCACCCACAUCAGAUGGUUCAUGAUUGCCUGUAAUUCUAGCUGCAAGAGAGCCAGCACCCUCUUCUGGACUCAGCAGACACUCACAUACACAUACUUUAUGUCAAUGUGCACACACACACACACACACAUAUAUACUU
rnacentral:lncRNA from 1 species